AGACCCCUGGGCUAACAGCCCAAGGGACCCACCUCAAUGGCCCCCACCUGUGUCCAUAUCAGCACGCCUGGACCAGCUCAGAACAACCACCCCCACCAAUGUCUCAGUCUCCGGAGAGGAUCCUCCUCUCACCAAGAUGCCCCCAGAGCCCACCAGCCUGACACAUCGUCAUCACUACCACCACCUCUCAGCCUUCCAGUGUGCUCGCUGUAUUCCUAGUUCUGGGGGAAAUUUGGACAUAGAGACAUGCAUAGAGGGAAAACGGACUGAAGACUGAGGGAGAAUGCCAUUUACAAGCCAAGGAACACCUGAAGCCACCAGAAGCAAGGAGGAAGGCAUGGAGCAGAUUCUCCCUCACAGCUCUCAGAAGGAACCCACCUGGCC
rnacentral:lncRNA from 1 species